rnacentral:misc_RNA from 1 species
CGCAGGUCGAUCCCGCCUUCUGGCCGCGCCGGACGAGCCGAGCAUGGGACGCAGCGCGACCUGACGGUCUGGGCUGCCGGACCAGCCCGCACAGAGCCCGCGGCAUGGCUCCGGUGGCCCUGCACAAGAUGGAGCAGAGAGAUGCUGACAGCGAGUCGAGCAGGAGCAAGAAGUCGUUCAGCUCUGGCACGCUGUCGCUCUACAGCUUCCAGGGGGAGCGGACAUGCUCGUUCAAUCCGAACACGCGCCACGGACGUCGGAUGUACGUCAUACAGAUGCUCGUGCUGCCGUUUAUUCCCAUCUUUGCGCUUAUCGUCCAGAACAUUUACACAAUGACAACAGCCAUCCAGCACCAGCAGAAGAUGGAAAAUCUAAAGCAUACGAUCGAAGGAACCACCGACUUGGGCUUGCUGCUGACCGCACUGCAGAUGGAGCGGGCUGAAGUCGCCUUCCUCAUCUUCACCAGCGGGACUACAUCCGACCUGGCCGACAGCCUGGCCGAAUACCGAGCCGUCCCUGAGAGCCCGAGUGACAUGUCGACGGUGGCUGGUUGGACCGCGGAACCAGUCAAGGCCAGCGAUGGGAUACGGCGGGCGUUCGAAACGACGGACAACGCGCUGGAGAGGACGACCGGCUGGGAAGACCUGGCCCGCCUGGUCAGCCGGCCCCGUAACAACCGCAUGUUCACCUCCAAGCUCCGCUUCAGGAUCAGGCUGGAGGACCUCAGGCGGACAGUGUUUAAUGAGCCGAGCUCGACCCGACGCCAGGUGCAGUGGUACGAUCACGCUAACAGCUGGCUGCUGGACGUGCUGGCCCGCCGCGUCACCGCCCGCCGAUGGACCACGGGCGCCACCAGUUCGCUGCUGGCGUAUAUCAACAUCCUGCGGGCGAUCGAGCACUUCGGCGUGAUGUUGGUGCUCGGUCUGCGCUACCUCCACUUGGACCGGCUUCCCACGCUCCUCCUAGCGACUGCUGUGCGCUCCGACACCCUCUUCUGGGAGUACAUCAACAACACGCGCGUCUUCUCUGCCGAGAUGUCCGAGAGUAUCCACAGUAUCUUCGACAGCUAUGAGGGCAUGCAGACUUUCACCACAGUACGAGACGGCAUCGUCUCCAACGAGCCCGCGGCCAGUAUGGGCGUGACAUCUCUCAAGUACUUUGAGGACGUCACGAAUCUGGUGGUUCGCCUGCGGAAGGUUCAGCAGAAGCUGCGCGAUAUCAUCGAAAUAAACACCACGGCCCAGAUGGAGUCAGCCCGUCAGCAGCAGAUCGUGACGGCCAGCCUGCUCGUGCUCAUCCUUAUCCUCUCACCCAUUAUCAUACUGAUGACGCGCACCGCUGCUGUGGCCAUGGAGACGUUCACGGAGGCUCUGGCGGAGAAGACGGUGGAGGUGCGGCGCGAGAAGCGGAAGGCGGAUCGGCUGCUGUACCAGAUGCUGCCACGCCAAGUGGCACUACAGCUCAAGGGCCGCCUGCAGGUGCCGGCCGAGUCGUUCGAAUCCGUCACCAUCUACUUCAGCGACAUCGUCGGCUUCACCAGCAUCUCGGCAAAAAGCUCACCCAUUCAGGUGGUGACGUUUCUGAACCGGCUGUACAGGAUCUUCGACAACAGGAUCGACCGAUACGACGUGUACAAGGUGGAAACGAUCGGGGACGCCUACAUGAGAGCGUCACGUCACAGAGGUGGCAGACAUGUCGCUGGAGCUGAUCGCCGCCGUGUGCAAGUUCCAUGUGCCGCACCUUCCCGGCCAUCUAGUGGAGAUUCGCAUCGGGAUCAACACGGGCCCGUGUGUGGCAGGCGUGGUCGGCACGAAGAUGCCCCGGUACUGCCUGUUCGGGGAUGCCGUGAACGUGGCAUCACGAAUGGAGUCGACGGGAGAGCCCAUGAAGAUACACCUUACACAGACAACAUAUGAAUACCUGGAACGGGUAGGGAGCUACGAAAUGCAGUUUCGAGACAACAUCGAUGUGAAGGGAAAAGGCGCGAUGGCAACCUAUUGGCUGGUCAGCAAGUUUGGCAGGAUUCCACGGAACGUCGAAAUCACAGCACCCAGCUAUUUG